rnacentral:rRNA from 1 species
GAUGAGCGCUGGCGGCGUGCCUAAUACAUGCAAGUCGAGCGAACGGACGAGAAGCUUGCUUCUCUGAUGUUAGCGGCGGACGGGUGAGUAACACGUGGAUAACCUACAUAUAAGACUGGGAUAACUUCGGGAAACCGGAGCUAAUACCGGAUAAUAUUUUGAACCGCAUGGUUCAAAAGUGAAAGACGGUCUUGCUGUCACUUAUAGAUGGAUCCGCGCUGCAUUAGCUAGUUGGUAAGGUAACGGCUUACCAAGGCAACGAUGCAUAGCCGACCUGAGAGGGUGAUCGGCCACACUGGAACUGAGACACGGUCCAGACUCCUACGGGAGGCAGCAGUAGGGAAUCUUCCGCAAUGGGCGAAAGCCUGACGGAGCAACGCCGCGUGAGUGAUGAAGGUCUUCGGAUCGUAAAACUCUGUUAUUAGGGAAGAACAUAUGUGUAAGUAACUGUGCACAUCUUGACGGUACCUAAUCAGAAAGCCACGGCUAACUACGUG